GGCCGUCUAGCUCAGUUGGUAGAACAUCAGACUUUUAAUCUGAGGGUCGUGGGUUCGAGUCCCACGGUGGGCA
rnacentral:tRNA from 1 species